rnacentral:tRNA from 1 species
GCCGCUAUGGCGAAAUUGGUAAACGCACACGACUCAAAAUCGUGCGGGAAACCUUGUGGGUUCGAGUCCCACUAGCGGCA